rnacentral:rRNA from 1 species
GAUGAACGCUAGCGGCAGGCUUAAUACAUGCAAGUCGAGGGGCAGCAUGAUUGUAGCAAUACAAUUGAUGGCGACCGGCAAACGGGUGCGGAACACGUACACAACCUUCCAAUAAGUGGGGAAUAGCCCAGAGAAAUUUGGAUUAAUACCCCGUAACAUAACGAUGUGGCAUCACAUUGUUAUUAUAGAUUUUUCGCUUAUUGAUGGGUGUGCGGCUGAUUAGAUAGUUGGCGGGGUAACGGCCCACCAAGUCUACGAUCAGUAGCUGAUGUGAGAGCAUGAUCAGCCACACGGGCACGGAGAACCGGGCCCGACUCCUACGGGAGGCAGCAGUAAGGAAUAUUGGACAAUGGACGCAAGUCUGAUCCAGCCAUGCCGCGUGAAGGAUUAAGGUCCUCUGGAUUGUAAACUUCUUUUAUAAGGGACGAAAAAAGGCUUUUCUAAGUCGUCUGACGGUACCUUAUGAAUAAGCACCGGCUAACUCCGUGCCAGCAGCCGCUGUAACAC